AGGAACAGGCGUACCUAUCUGAUGGGGUCCUGCAGAGGUAGAAAUCUAUUUAUGCCCAGAAGAUAGAGGAAGUCUUCAGACCUGAAGCCCAAAGCAGUGCUCAGGCCCAGCUUACCAGAGUGCUCACAGCAAACGAAGUCACCGUGGAGAAACUGAGGCUCGGAGUAGUUCAUUAACCUGCCCAGAGUCCCACAGGGCAGGUUAUCCAGCACGAGGUGGCAGCAUGAUGGCAGCCACCUCCCUCCCACAGGCCUCUCGGUCUCACCAGCACUUAGCCUGAAGGAGAGUGACCAUCCGUCCAGGUUUGUUUCAGGAGACUCCUGACCUACUGCUAAGAGCCCAGAGCUCUCUCUGGUUUGGUGUCCCCUUUCUUUCUCAAAAGGUUCCCAGUUUGGAUGAUAAAUUAUGUAGUCACGCUGUCUAUAACAGAGCUAGAACAAAAACACAAGUACACAAAAGCAAGAAGUAGUCUGCCAGCAAUUUACAUAAUGACUUCCAUUUAUCAAGCAAAUCACUCAGUGACACCACACACAUCUUUGCAAUUAAUCCUCACAGCAACCCUACCAAGGAGUUUCAGGGACAUGGAUUUUGCCGAUGAGGAAAGUAACAGGGUUAAAUGACUUGACCAGGGUCAUCCAACUAUGAGGAGCAGAACUGGAUUCAAACAUCCAUCUGCGUGACCCCAACUUCUACUCUUAAAGGGGCCUUCCUUCCUCCUCAGGGCAUGGACACCCCACCUCCCAAUUUCUGACUCUGUGAAGAAACAGAACUUUACCAAGACAGUUGGUCAGUUUCAACACUAAGGAAAUACUCUCGAUAUUCAUAUUUUUUGUCUUGCAUUUAAGAGCAGAAGUCUGUUUCUGCAGCUGUGUGUGUAAUUCAGCUGUUGUUUCUGUAACCUACUUUGAAAGAACACUUCCAAAAGAAGCAACCGGGUCUACAAAAGCACAGUUUGACUCAAACAGAUCCAGCCGAUUCGCGAAUGGAAAAUAACGCUGAGGAAUAAGUCUUGCAUCACAGCAUGAUGGCUACUCCAGGUCGUCCCUAAUGAAACUAACGAUUUAAGUGGAAUAACCCAAAAAACAGGUGGUUCAAAAUCUUUGCUUUACGUUUGCAUAGGUUGGUCUUCUAAACCAGUUGCUCUCUCAGAAAAGGUGACAAAUUUGUAACCUUUUCCUUUCAUCACCAAAUUCUCUGCAGCUUUUGUUUUUUCCUUUUUUUAAAAAAAAAAAGUAAUUUUUUCAUUUUGAUUUUUAAUUCCUAAAGCACUCCCUUAAAGCAUUCUCUUUGGGAAAAAAAAAUCACACAUAAGGCUUAAGUGGUCUUUGAGCAAUACCCCAAUCUCAGACCUGUACGCUGUUACUGGUUUGUUUUUUGUCCUAUUUUUUCUAUCUGGGAAAUUCUUUUUCUAUGUUCGGCCUUUUCCCAUAAAAUUUCCAAUGUAGAAGUAUUUCCCUUCUUCCCCUCAAACUUCAUCAUAGGGAAGUCACUAAAAUCUCAGAGACUGAGGCUCCAAGGGGCUACAGCAGCCUCUCUCCUUCUGGUUCUUUUUUCACCUGGUCGAGUGGUUAACAGCAAAGCUCUAGAGUCAGACUGCUAGUGUAGAUCUUGGCUCCAUCCCUUAUGAGCUGAGUGACUUUGGGUAAGUUCAUUCAGCAAAUAUUUAUUGAGUGCCCAUUACAUGUCAGGGACAUAAUGUGGUACAAGACAAUACUCCUACCCUUAUGGAGCUUAUAUUCUAGUGGAAGACACAGAAUAUAAACAUAUGAAUGAAUAUAGCAUAAUUUCAGGUGGUGAUAAAUUCCCUAAAGAAAAAUGAAACAGGGUCAGAGGCAGAGACUGCCUUUUAUCUAGGUGAUCAGAGAAAACCCCUCCAGGAUGUGACAUUAGAGCAGAGAGCUGAGUAUAGUCAGAGAGCAAGCCAUGCAAAGAUGUGAUGGGAACAGCAAGUACAAAGGCCCUGAGGCAGAAACAAACUUGAAGUAUUGGAAGAACAGCAAGAAGGCUAGUGAACCGAAACAGAGUGUGGGGGAGAGAAUGGCGGCGUUUGAAGCAUCCCACUUUCCACCGUCACCUCCUAUCUUCCUAUUGCUGUAGUCCCCCAACUCAAAAUUAAUCCAACUCCACUGGAUCCUAUAGUCCACUGUUUCACUAUCUUAUUGCUCCUCUCCUUCUGCGUAUCCUCACUUCCUGCCUUAAGCAGCUUAGAUCCAAGGUCCAUUAUUGUAAUCACUCCCCUGCAUAAACACUCAUCUCAUUUUAGCUUCAUAUCAUUUUUCUUUCCUCAAACUUCCAGCACUUCCUCCCCAAUCCUCACUCUUCACUGAUGAACUUCCUGUUUCACUGAGAAAAUAGAAGCAAGCAACAGAGGACAUCCACAAGCCCCCAGCACCACAUCUACCCACCUGCACUUGUCCCAUAUGCCUGCCUUCCCACCAGUCACCAAGGCUGAAGGCUUUCGUCCAGGUGCACAAACCCCCUUCCUCCCACCUUCUCUAGCAGGUUUCCUUCCUUCUCCUCCAUGGGUCCCAUCACCAAAAGGAAUUGCUGUAAUUUCUUCAGUGUUGACAAAGUCACAUCUUGAGCCCCCUUCUCCUCUAGCCCCCACCCCAUUUUUCUGAUAGUCUUUAUAGUACAACCACUUUUAUUCACCGCCUGCACUUCCCCUCCCCCGCACCUCCUCUGAACCCGCUCCAGGCAGGCUUUGUGCCCCUGUUCCACUCAAACUGUCUCUUCCGCUAAAUCUUUCUCCUCAGUAAAUCCAGUGGUUGGUCCCCUAUCCUCACCCCCAGACCUAUCAGCAACCUGUGAGCGCUUCUCUUCCUCCCCUGCCAGUCUUCUGGCUCUCCCCACCAUCGGUGCUCCCGUCCUUGAUUCUGAACAGGUCUCCCUGCAGGCACGCCCACCCUUCUUCACAGUCACUCGCUGCCCUGCUCACAGUCCUCCCCUGGCUUCCCACCCACUCAGUCACAGUCCAAGCCCCUGCAGUGGGGGUGGAGGGGGCCUACAAGUUGCCUCUCCCAAACGUACCUCCUCUGCUCUCUGACCUCUGUUUACUCCCCUACUUUACUCUCUCUGCUCUUGCCACAUCUGCUUCCUUGCAGUUCCUCAGACAUGUCAAGCACACCCCUUCUUUAGGGCCUUUGCACCUGCUGUUCCCUCUGCCUGGAAUAUUCUUCUGGAAAGGUCGUGCUGGGGGUAAGAGUGGCUUCAGGGAAGCGGUUGGAGGCCAAUGCAACAGCCAAGCAAGAAAGAUAAUGAGGACUUGAGCGAGGAAAAAAAAAAAAAAGUCAGAUUUUUUGAUACAUUUUGGAGUUAGAGCUGAUAAGAACUUGUUAAUAAAUUGGAUGAGGGAUCUGAGGGAAAAAGAGGAAUUGAGGGUAACAUCUAGGUCUUUGGCCUCAAUACUUAAUCUUCCUGAGCCUGUUUCCCCUUCUGUAAAAUGGGGACAAUUAGCGCACGUCCCUUCUAGGAUCAUUGUGAGAAAGAGGGUAGAGGACGCCGAGUGCUCACACGGUGUCGGGCACAUAGUGACCCCCAAUAAAUAUUAGGGCUUGUUAUUGCCACAAAGAUAACUGCGUUCCUAGGAUUACAAAAAUAUCCACCCCCCAGAGGCUGAGGAAAGAAAAAACCUUUUUGUAGCACGUACUUUCCCCUCCUGAGGGACAGACUUGUCCUUUAUUUAACAGAAUAUUUAACAUGAGUGUUGGAGCGGUUUACUUGCACACAGAUAAAUAAAAGGACUCCUCACAUUUCAAAAGAAUUAUAAGGCUCCUUCGAGAAGUGUUUGUUCACUCCAUAUUUAGCAGGAGUAACUAACAGCUGAAGUUACAAACCUCUGCUGAUUAAAAAGCAAUCAAAAUGUCAGAAAAAGUACAUCCGAAAUAAUCAUGCUUUUCUAAAAACAGGUAUUUACUGUAUUUUAAUACACCAGACGCUAAAAUACCACGCUGUCCGGUUCAAUACAGGACACCUGGCAACCCUAUUUGUCAGUGUAACUCAGCUUUCUGCAAAGCCAACACCCAACCCUUUUUGGCUGCCGUAGCCUGUCCUCAUUUCCCCCUGGAAAACUUUUAAACCUAGUACAGAUAACAUUCUGCCUCUAUUACAAUUAGCAGCUUCUCUCAAUGGGUCCCCUGGUCUGGCGAGUGCUCCUGUGGGGUAACCCGGUAUCUUCUUUCAAAACCUCCGGGUGGCGGCCCCAGGGAGCAUGUGGAAAGCUGCCUGUGGGGAAUUUAGGGGCUGCUUCGGCCUUCGGGACCUUCCUGCCAGAACCUUCUUCUGCCUCAUCAGAUCUCCCUGAUUAUUGGUGAUCUGGGACCCCCACCCAACUGAAGACCACUCAUCCUUCUUCCCAGCCCCCAAGCACCCUGGGAGGUUAGUGAUGGGUCCCUAAGUCUGAGAGCUCUUUCCUUCCUCGCCCUGUGUGAACUCCUCCUUAAGUGCUUCUACUACCUGGGAGCCUGCGGAGGCGGCUUUGCAUUUGAACUGCAGCUGGGAGGUCCUCCUCCCGAAGAAUCCGCCCGCUGCUGAGUCUCUGCUCCACGACCUCCGCUGUUCAACCUUCUCUAUUCUGAAGCCCAGGAGAGACCUCGGUUUCUGAAAGUGGGGUCUGAGGCCCAGCAGCCUCACCAGGGAGCUUGUUAGAAAUGCAGAAUCAGAGGCGGUGUUCCGACCUGUUGAAUCAGAAUCUGAGUUUUAACGAGAUCCUCGGGUGAUUCCCACAAAUCUGCAAGUUUGAGAAGCAGGAAGGUGCUCAGGCCCCUCCGUUCCUAUUGGCUGCGGAGAAUCCUUGCAACUGUCCCGGUUAAGGGCCCGUAAGCCCCAGCCUGCUUGUCCUCACUUUCCGAAGAAUCCUGAGCCGCUGCCGAGGGACACCCUCUCUGCCCCGUCUCCUCACAGCCAGGGCGUCCUUUAUGAACCCCCCUCUCUUCUUCACGAGAGACUUGCCCCCACUCCUCUGCUCAGGCCAGGCCCUGGGGCGUUUCCUCCCUGGUGACUUUUGCGCUGUGCUUCUCCCCAAGGAGGACCUGCGAUACCCAUCCAAGCGCUGCCUCUUCUGCUCUCUCAGAGCUGCUCUGUCCUGACAGCCCCUUCCAGCUGGGCCUGACCUGACUGCCCCCGACCCUGGUCCUCAGCCCGGACCUGAGUGGCCUCUCACGGGGCCAGCGUCCCCCAUUUCCCAUGGUUUACGCUGAAGUCGAGACUUCCCACAUUGCGUGGAUAUCAGAUCCUUCUUCCUCUUCCCUGCCAGCCCCUCCCUACGGCCCCAACAGAAGAGCAGAAGACGAGUAAUGGGCGCCUUCAAAUGGAGACGCCAGGGAAAAGGGGAGGAUGCGAUCAGGAACCAGCGUUGGAGGGAGGGUCACCGUUCCUCUGAAACAAGAGUGUGGGAGGGGCGGCUACAUUCAAAAUGCUCCCAGCGCUGGGCUCUUUGAAGGUUUGGGGAUUUGAGUUUGGGGUUGUUGUUUUUCAAGCUUUCCAAAAUGAGGGGAAAAAAUGUCAGCUAACUUUUUUGGACUGUGGAAACUGUGAGCGUCUCCUGGAAUCAUAAUGGAAGGCUUUUGGGCUCUCGGUCUGUGGUCAGAUUCGUUAAACACACAUUCUUUCUCACACCCUUAUCAUUUGUUACACAGUUUUCCCUAAAAAGGAUAUACUAAAAGCUCACCUCCAACCUUUUAAAAAGUACCCUUGGAAACUUAU